GGGAGAGCUGGAGUCCCGUGGUAGAAAGCCCAGAGGCUCGGGGCCAGGAGCUUCUGGGAACCGGGCUAGGUUCGCACCCACAUCCUGAGCAGUGGACACGCAGGAACCGUUUUGCAGGUGAGGGCGAUGGGCAGAUUCAGUCUGGUGCCUUGGGGUGUCCUGGGCCUGUCCCCAGCCUAACCCCCCAGGCCCCCGUCACCUGCAAGCCAGUGACUGGGCUGCUCUGGAGGGCAAAGUGUGAGGAGGAAGGAAGCCGGGGGUGGAAGUGAAGCCGGCUGGUGUUGGCAGUGGGCGGAGCUGAGCUGCCAGCGCUGAGAGAAAGAGGGUGGGGCUGCUGGGAAGGAAGGGGCCCCGCCACGCCGCUGGUUAGCUCGGCACCGGCUCGGCUCGGCACCAGUGCUCCUGGUGGCGCGGCUUCGGCGCUGGACCCGGAGGCAGGGCACAUGGGCCAUGGCUGCCGCCACAUCAGUGGUCAGAUGGAAGCACAGGAUUUGCAGAAAUAAGGGGGAAAGGGUGCAGUUGUGAUAUUAGAGGGUCAGAAUAUGCCUCUCAAA